ensembl:misc_RNA 7SK 7SK RNA
GGAUGUGAGGGCGAUCUGGCUGCGACAUCUCACCCCAUUGAUCACCAGGGUUGAUUUGGCUGAUCUGGCUGGCUAGGCCGGUGUCCCUUUUCUCGCUCACCACUCCAUGCACAUCCCUCCCAGAGCUGCGCACUUGGUCAAAGAGGGUGACCAUCUCUGAUAGAGGAGGACCGUUCUUUGGUCAAGGGUAUACAAGUAGCUGCGCUCCCUUGCUAGAACCUCCAAACAAGCUCUCAAAAUUAUAGAGUUAAAUGAUGAGAGAAGGAAAUUUUGAAACCAUACAAAAGUAUUUAACUACAUUAUCUUUU